UCACCUGCAAAUGAUACAUUGUAUACUAAAAUACAGAAUGGAUUCUUUGUAAUUUGGAAGAUAGAAUGGUUUAUAGUGAUAGUAGGUAGUCCCGUAUUUAUAAAAGGAAUGGCUGGUAAUUUUUGUCAAUUGAAAAUCUGUCAUUCAAAAUGGUUGAGAAGCGUGUAAACUGUAAAGUGUAGUACUAGUAGGGCAGUGAAGAACAGGCAAGUGUGAUCAAUGGACAUGCAGGACUUGUGAUACAAAAUUGUCUAGAAAAAGCUAUGUAGAGGCAGUAAGAGUGGGAAAAUCUAUCGAUAUUUUAUGCUUUUUAUGCUGAGUAGCUGACACAUCCAGUGAUCCACGCACCACUAUUCCUACACCACAAUCAAGUUCUGAUAAUAUUAAAAGUUUGCCGGAUUUGCCAACACUAGAAAAGGCCACGACUGACCCAUCUUACAGACCCUUCCUCACCAUCAAAGCGUAGGAAAACUGUGCACAGACGUGUUGUCUCAAGGCAUUCAAGAGAUGUCACAGAGACCACAGAAAAAAGGGUGGCAUGGUUGAGAUCACAGAGAAUUGUUUAUGCUAUAGCUAUAAACUUUUGCCUCAAAAUUGCUUAUCUCUAAGACCGUGGCAUUUUAGGCUCCGAGUCCGACAUUUUAAGAUUACUGGUCAUCUCAUCUGAUUGAAUUUCGCGGGGAAAAUCAAACCAAACACUCGGUCAAACAAAAGAACUCCGAAUGCACGGGCCGCUUACACCAAGGUAAAGAAAUGCGUAGGACCGUCCUCGAUCUAGCGUUCUCCCAACGAGCGUCUACUUCCGGUAAAAUUUGUGGCUGUGUGACAUGCUUCGAAAAAGUGCCCAGUUUACUUCCGGUAUAUUGUUAUUAUCACGUAAUUUUGUUAGCUUGAUAAUGUUGAAAGCAAGCGAGUGAAUUGGAUUAAAUAUUUAUUCAUUUGUGCCUCACUCCAAACAAAUGUUGUGAUCUUCGCUCAUCAUUUAUUAUUGAUAUAAAAAAAAAUGUCAUAAAUAAUGCAACAGGGAGAGUUGUAAAAUGAUGAAGAACUGGAAGCGACGACGUCGACUGGCUGCCAGCACAGUACAAUUUACAAACUGCGCACUGUCUUUAUAAAUAGACCAAUAAUACAAAAGCCAUUGUAUUUAAUUUUAUGAAUAACUUUCAUUUGAUGUGAACAAGGAAUUUCUAACAUUGAAGAAGGACAAUAAAAUAUAAUUCCUAAAUAACCACCUGCACUGAGUGUUGAUUCAUCCCUAAAUCCUAACUUUAAAAUAGUUGUUGCACUGAAUGAAAAGCAGGCUGUUAUGCGAGUGCCUGAAAGACUUUGAAAUAUAUUUCUUGUGAAAAAUUGGAAUAGACUCAGCUAUCAACUGACUGUACAUUAUACACUUUCAGUUACACAUUCUAUUUUUUGGAAAUAAUUUUAAUAAAUAUAAUGAAUGAAAUCAUUGGAUUAUUGUGAAUAUUUUGAAAAUGUACUAGGGAUAGAGACUGUCUAUCUUGUCCACUCAAUGAAAUUAUGAAUUCUCCUCAAUGUGUUUAAAGUCAAUUUCUAUUCAAUUCAUAAGAUAAUGCAGCUCUUGUGUGUACUGGUACAGGUGUAUUCAGUAAACUGUAAAAUUUACCCACUCCCUCCUCUAUGAUUACAUAAAACCAUUUAUUGUAACAUUGACACACGGAUCACAAUUUACAAUAGGGUGAAUGAAAAUAUGCAUAAAUCUGGUAACUUUUCUCUCUGAUCAAAUGUGUGAAAUUGUCAUAAAUUUAUACAAAGU